GGACGAAAGUCUGACGGAGCAACGCCGCGUGAGUGAUGAAGGUUUUCGGAUCGUAAAGCUCUGUUGUUAGGGAAGAACGAGUGCGAGAGUAACUGCUCGCACCUUGACGGUACCUAACCAGAAAGCUACGGCUAACUACGUGCCAGCAGCCGCGGUAAUACGUAGGUGGCAAGCGUUGUCCGGAAUUAUUGGGCGUAAAGGGCUCGCAGGCGGUUUCUUAAGUCUGAUGUGAAAGCCCCCGGCUUAACCGGGGAGGGUCAUUGGAAACUGGGAAACUUGAGUGCAGAAGAGGAGAGUGGAAUUCCACGUGUAGCGGUGAAAUGCGUAGAGAUGUGGAGGAACACCAGUGGCGAAGGCGACUCUCUGGUCUGUAACUGACGCUGAGGAGCGAAAGCGUGGGGAGCGAACAGGAUUAGAUACCCUGGUAGUCCACGCCGUAAACGAUGAGUGUUAAGUGUUAGGGGGUUUCCGCCCCUUAGUGCUGCAGCUAACGUAUUAAGCACUCCGCCUGGGGAGUACGGUCGCAAGACUGAAACU
rnacentral:rRNA from 1 species